UGUAAUGGCUGUUUGUUGGACAAAGUGGCAGCGACUAAUGGUGAGCGAACACAAACUUUUGACAUGGCCAACUGGCAUGUGACAGUUCCCCUUAAACGAAAUGUUUCAAAUGCCCUUCUUCUUAGUCUCCAUAGUUUCCUCCUCUCUAAGAUCCCCCAGCAGUGAACUCUCAUGUAUCACAGAAGCGUAGAGAUUCGCAAAUGCCCCGUAUCGAAGACCAACCGCUUCUAUGUCUCUCACCAGGCUUGAAGCCCAGCCAAUCUUUUCCCUUCCCAUAACCCCGGGGCCUAGAUAGCUUCGAACGUUCACGCGUUCCUUCUGGGGGGCGGUCCUUCAUGCCAACAAACCCUGUUUCUUGCCUUCUUUCCAUCCUCGCCCUCAACGAUUGAAGCACGUCAAGUGACCGGCAACGGUCGGCAAGUUUCAGUCUAAGGCAGCGCAGGCAACUCGGAUUGAGCAACCAAGCCUGAGUUAGGCGACCGCAUUUAAGUAAAAGCAAACUGACUCUUUCUGUGGGGCGAACUGCAAAAGACGAAAGUAAGGAGUCUCAGGAGCGGUUCUCGCGGCAACAACAAGAGACGGACUGAGAAAAAGGAGAGUGGCGGAAAAACAAGCGAAACAGCCUGCGAGCGGAGUGUCAUGAAGCUGCUAUUACGAUUUUUUUUUUGCCUGAUGUGCACUAGUCACCCCGAACGGUGUAACGGUAGCACAAAGCCCACAGUAACACCGGCCAAGUGCACGAUGUUAAGCGGGGGCGCGCAGCCGAGAUGAGUUAUUAGUGUACAGCCACAAGAGUAGCGAACGCGGUAAACGAGGCGGCGUACUGAAAAAAGGACACGAGCCAUCCAGCCAGUAGAAACAGCAGUAGAACAACGUCGAAUUGUAUGAGGUCUGGGAAUAACUUGGGUACACGACUCAUAUAACCCACUUACGACGAGAGUAGAGAAGGAAGCAGAAAGCAAGAGAGAAAGAAUAGCUUGAGAUGAAUCAUGUUAGACAGUAGGGAUAAAAUAGGUGAAAUGAAGGCAGUUACAUAUGGGAUCGACGAUGCAUGGACAAAGAAAAAUGGGCUUGGCCUGGUGGGCCCUUUGGGUGGGGUGGUGCCCAAGCGGUGCUGCGAGGAUACACUUGAAGUAGAGAUCGUUUUUUAUUGAAACGCUAAAGGCCCACAACCCUCAAACUCAUACUGCAGAUCACUGUUUGCUUCUAUCUAGGCAGAUCAAGUCGUUUCGAGACUUAGUGUUUUUACUGUGUCGACAUCGGGGGCUAGACUUAGCGCCAUUUUGUCGCGGUAAGUAAUUCACAACUUACCACAAACAUGUUUGCGCCAAACACGACACAUAAAAGUGAAUCAGUGGUACGUAGGGAUAGAAAGUUUAAGGACUGUAGGCGACUAGACGCCAUGAUAUGUCUUCAAGUCAAAUCGACAACAUUCACCCAAAAACGCCGUCAAGUAGAGCUGGCACACGAAGGCCAAGGUUCCGAAGCAAAAGAUACUUGUCUAGUCGGAAUGGGUCUUGUGAAGAGAAUAUAAAUGUACUCGAGAAGUGUGGCACAUUAGCCAGAGAUAACCAGCAAUCAGUUUUACAACAUAAAGAACAGCAGAAAAAGAAAAACGAACAGGAAAGGUCCGAAGUUGCUAGGACACAGUGUGUGUGUGUUGUUUACCGUCCUAUUCUUCCGAUUGCUGUUUCUGGGCGAACUAAUGUUCCACGAGCUCGUGGCUGAUGACAGCGGUAUGCGUAAGGAUCCGAAAUGCGUUUGCAUGUUAGGAAAGAACCACAGUGUGGCAGUAAGACUGAAGAGGAGGACCUUCAGUAUCGGAAUACGCCGAAAGCCCAUAUCGAAAUGCCCAAGAUGGAAAAGACAAGCUGACGUUCUAUGGACCAGGGUGGAUCAGGCCAGACCAGCAGCUUGUCGUCGCGGUAUUCCAAGAGUCGUCUAACGCGUCAUAUACUUGUGAGGACAUAGUGCAACUCGACAAAGUGCUAAGCGUAUCGAAUAAGAAGAAAAGUCCUCUUCCAGUGGGUUCUUGCGCCUUUACUGGGUACCCCAGCACAUCGCUUCUCGCUCGCCUGUAACGAUCCUCGUCAAUGUUACUCACCACAAACCGAACGGUGUUCACAGUCAACGACCCGCUAUUGGCCAGUUGCCUAUGCAACUUUUUUCAUCUGCAACGAACUCUUCGUCGUCGUGCAUUUUAGAGUAACGGAAGAGCUGCGACGGCGACGCCAACGAAUCGGGACCACUGUCCGGAGGGAGCCCUGCGCCUACGUUUUUACUAAAUAGCGUUUGUUUAACUUCCAUUUGCCAGGAACCGUCACUGCCGCUAUUGCGACUAUGAGGUAACGUUUACAAAGUAAAUCGCUGUUCCUACCAUUGUAGUCGGUAUUGCGCAACGUCGACAAAGCUAAGAACACUGUUUCGUCACGAAACGACGCUAUCGUGUCUCUGCGAGAGUGUAGAUGUCUUUGUUGUGCGUCCGUACCCCUCAGGAUGAUGCCCUUCCGUGCCCCAGGAUGAUGUCUUACACCGUUAUUACUUUGAUCCGUACUAAGUCCAGGCUGUCCCCGAACAAGCUGCUUCUCUUAUUUUCGAUACAUGUAUACCUGAUUUAGUACGGCAAAUCUUUAGGAGCCGUCUGUAUUUUAGUUGACUUUAGUUUAAAUUAUUAGACCUUGGUAAUUUAAGUUAGACAUUAGGUAGGUAGAUAGAUAUGGUACAUACAAAAAAGCCUGUUCUAGUUUCUAGAUUGCCGUCCCAUUAUGGACAAAAAAGAAAGGUCGCACGAGACAA
rnacentral:lncRNA from 1 species